UCUUCAAUCUGAAAUUCAUCUCUGCCAAGCAAAUGCUUACCAAAGUCACUCUUUCCAUCAACUCUCUUCCACCUCUUAGCUUUCUUCCAACAAUGGAGGCUGCUUGAAGCUAGGACCACCUCAUUCCUUCUCUGCCGCCACUAGCAUCCAUCCAGAUCCAUCAACUUUCCGCUGCCACCUGCUGGAACUCUGCCUUCUUGGAUUCUCACUUCAACCAAGCAAUGGAGAGUCGUAUCAAGUGGUAUUCAGAGCAAAGUUCUCUUCCUCGGGCUUCAAGAGAUAAGUCUUUCGAUCUCUGAUUUCGUCUCUGUUUCUGUUCUUAGUUUCACUGUUUCGUAUUUUAUUGAUUCCGUCUUGUCUGAGUUUCAUAUGAUUUUGAUUCGCGUUUUGUCUUGUUUUGAUUUUGAUUAUGAGUAUCUUGUGCAAUUUCUCUUAAUGUUUCCGUGUUGUUCAUCGCAUUGCCUUCACUGUCUUGAUUGUUUAUCUGUUUGAGUUUCGUGCAUCCUAUUCUGUGAAAGUUGUUUUCAUGUUCUUAGGUUUCCAAAAUAUGAUAAGAUGUGUAUAGGUUUUUGUCGUUCUGUGCUUUGAAUCGAGUCUUGUUUUGAUCAUUUUAUUCGGUGAAUCCAAGUGUUUGAGUCUUUUGCUUGAGAAAUCCAUUUCUGUUAUGUCAAAGUCGUGUUGCUUUGUUUUAAUUGUCAGUUAAAUCUGAGUUUAACUGUGAUUCAAUUGAGUUUAUGGCUUUGAGUAAGAUCUGUACAUCAUCA
rnacentral:lncRNA from 1 species